AUGAUGAAUUGCUGAGUGAGCUCAUCAGUACAUGUGAAGGAAGUAAAGAAGUUCUUCAGGAGAUGCUCCAGAAUGAUCUUGAUCCACUUCAAAUCGAAGAGAUCUGGAGUGUUCUUGUGAAGUUACCUACGAUCAGAAUGGAUAUUUCUAUCAGUGACGAAUCAACCAAUACACCAUCCAGAAGGCAUGGGACUUGGCCACUUCCUAUGUCUAUAAAUAAAGAGAGAUUAAGCACCAUAACAACGACAGCUGAGGCAGACCAAGGGUACAUCAUUCACGUCAACCUAAGACAACAGAAUAAGGGAGCUAAG